rnacentral:rRNA from 1 species
UUGUCAGCUCGUGUCGUGAGAUGUUGGGUUAAGUCCCGCAACGAGCGCAACCCCUAUUGUUAGUUGCUACCAUUAAGUUGAGCACUCUAGCGAGACUGCCUGGGUUAACCAGGAGGAAGGUGGGGAUGACGUCAAAUCAUCAUGCCCCUUAUGUGUAGGGCUACACACGUGCUACAAUGGCAAGUACAGAGAGACGCAAAACCGUGAGGUCGAGCAAAUCCCUUAAAACUUGUCCCAGUUCGGAUUGUAGGCUGAAACUCGCCUACAUGAAGCCGGAGUCGCUAGUAAUCGCGAAUCAGCAUGUCGCGGUGAAUACGUUCCCGGGUCUUGUACACCCCGCCCGUCACACCAUGAGAGUUGGCAAUACCCAACGUCCGUGAGCUAACCGCAAGGAGGCAGCGGCCUAAGGUAGGGUCAAUGAUUGGGGUGAAGUCGUAACAAGGUAACCGUA